GACGUGCCCUCUAUAUGAGGUUGGGGAGCGGCUGAGUCGGCCUUUUCCGCCCGCUCCCCCCUCCCCCCGAGUGCCGCUCCGGCUGCACCGCGCUCGGUCAGAGCUCCCGGCUUCUGCUAAGGUAGUGCCGCCGUCGUCUCUCUCCAGCCGUCGUCAUGAUCAUCUACCGGGACCUCAUCAGCCAUGACGAGAUGUUCUCCGACAUCUACAAGAUCCGGGAGAUCGCGGACGGGCUGUGCCUGGAGGUGGAGGGGAAGAUGGUCAGUAGGACAGAGGGUAACAUUGAUGACUCGCUCAUUGGUGGAAAUGCUUCCGCUGAAGGCCCAGAGGGUGAAGGUACCGAAAGCACAGUAAUCACUGGUGUUGAUAUUGUCAUGAACCAUCACUUGCAGGAAACCAGCUUCACAAAAGAAGCCUACAAGAAGUACAUCAAAGAUUACAUGAAAUCAAUCAAAGGCAAACUUGAAGAACAGAGGCCAGAAAGAGUAAAGCCUUUUAUGACAGGGGCUGCAGAACAAAUCAAGCACAUCCUUGCUAAUUUCAAAAACUACCAGUUUUUUAUUGGUGAAAACAUGAAUCCAGAUGGCAUGGUUGCUCUGCUGGACUACCGUGAGGAUGGUGUGACCCCAUAUAUGAUUUUCUUUAAGGAUGGUUUAGAAAUGGAGAAAUGUUAACGAAUUCGGCCAUGACUUUGGAUGUGUCACCUGUUGCCGUUAACGGGCUGCUCCUCUUCAUCCACACGACACCAGGACUUAGACAGAUGGGACUGAUGGCAUCUUGAGCUCUUCAUUUGUUUUGACCCUGAUUUAUUUGGAGCGGAGGCAUUGUUUUUAAGAAAAAAACAUGUCAUUGUCCUGGAGAAGCUAGAGCCUGGUCGUAGACUACUGCUAGAAAGCAUAAGACUGCCUGCAGAUAACUUCUACCGUGAAAAACUUCUGGGACUGGAAUAUAAAAAACAAGAAUCCAAAAGUCUUAAUUCUGAGUUCAAGUAAAGGGAAAGACCAUGCUCAUAGCUGGGCCAACAUUUGAAGUGGAUUCCUUACACAUUUCGUCACCUACCAACGGAAGUAGUUAACUCUGGAGGAGAUUACCAAAAGAAUAAAAAGAGACUAAUGACAGUUGGAAGCAAAGUAUUGUGUGAUCUUACUUGUCAUAAGUCAAGUAGAGCCAAGUUCUAGAGAAACCUAGACGUCUCCUGGAAUGCUUGUGUCAAACUCCCUGGAAUGGCUUGUCCUGCCACCUAUUUUUGUGACUUCAAGGUGGUGGUUACAUUUUUGAAUGGUUGGGAGAAAAUAGGUGGUGGAAUGUGAAAAAUAUGAAACCUAAAUUUGUGUCCGAUUUUACUGAGCCCUGCCAUGCUCAUGUUUUUAUGUAUUGACUGGCUCUUAACUGUUAAGAGCAGAGUAUGACAGAGACCUUUAAGGCCUACAAAUCCUAAAACAGCUAUGUGGCCCCUCAAGACAGGUUUGCCUGCCCCUGCUUCCAAAGAUGGAAAUUCUAGAUGGAGUGUGGGCCCAGGAAAA